CGGAUGAUGCUGGUGCUUGCACCGGUGGAUUAGUGGCGAACGGGUGAGUAACACGUGAGUAACCUGCCCCUGACUUCGGGAUAAGCCCGGGAAACUGGGUCUAAUACCGGAUAUGACUUCCUGCUGCAUGGCAGGGGGUGGAAAGAUUUAUCGGUUGGGGAUGGACUCGCGGCCUAUCAGCUUGUUGGUGAGGUAAUGGCUCACCAAGGCGACGACGGGUAGCCGGCCUGAGAGGGUGACCGGCCACACUGGGACUGAGACACGGCCCAGACUCCUACGGGAGGCAGCAGUGGGGAAUAUUGCACAAUGGGCGAAAGCCUGAUGCAGCGACGCCGCGUGAGGGAUGACGGCCUUCGGGUUGUAAACCUCUUUCAGUAGGGAAGAAGCCCCUUUUUGGGGUGACGGUACUUGCAGAAGAAGCGCCGGCUAACUACGUGCCAGCAGCCGCGGUAAUACGUAGGGCGCAAGCGUUAUCCGGAAUUAUUGGGCGUAAAGAGCUCGUAGGCGGUUUGUCGCGUCUGCCGUGAAAGUCCGAGGCUCAACCUCGGAUCUGCGGUGGGUACGGGCAGACUAGAGUGAUGUAGGGGAGACUGGAAUUCCUGGUGUAGCGGUGAAAUGCGCAGAUAUCAGGAGGAACACCGAUGGCGAAGGCAGGUCUCUGGGCAUUUACUGACGCUGAGGAGCGAAAGCAUGGGGAGCGAACAGGAUUAGAUACCCUGGUAGUCCAUGCCGUAAACGUUGGGCACUAGUGUGGGGGACAUUCCCCGUUUUCCGCCGCCGUAGCUAACGCAUUAAGUGCCCCGCCUGGGGAGUACGGCCGCAGGCUAAACUCAAGGAAUUGA
rnacentral:rRNA from 1 species